rnacentral:ncRNA from 1 species
UAUCUUCAGGGCAGGGUGAAAUACCCGACCGGCGGUAAAGUCCGCGAGCCGUAAGGCAUGAACCGGUGUGAUUCCGGUACCGACAGUAUAGUCUGGAUGAAAGAAGAUG